GCCCGGGUAGCUCAAGUCAGUAUAGUCGCCUGAAUCGUGAAUGAUAUCUCAAACUAACCCUUUACAGUGGUUAGAGCUUCAGACUUUUAAUCUGAAGGUUGUGGGUUCGAUACCCACCUCGGGCG